AACGAACGCUGGCGGCAUGCCUAACACAUGCAAGUCGAACGAGACCUUUGGGUCUAGUGGCGCACGGGUGCGUAACGCGUGGGAAUCUGCCCUUGGGUUCGGAAUAACAGUGAGAAAUUGCUGCUAAUACCGGAUGAUGUCUUCGGACCAAAGAUUUAUCGCCCAGGGAUGAGCCCGCGUAGGAUUAGCUAGUUGGUGGGGUAAUGGCCUACCAAGGCGACGAUCCUUAGCUGGUCUGAGAGGAUGAUCAGCCACACUGGGACUGAGACACGGCCCAGACUCCUACGGGAGGCAGCAGUGGGGAAUAUUGGACAAUGGGCGCAAGCCUGAUCCAGCAAUGCCGCGUGAGUGAUGAAGGCCUUAGGGUUGUAAAGCUCUUUUACAAGGGAUGAUAAUGACAGUACCUGGAGAAUAAGCUCCGGCUAACUCCGUG
rnacentral:rRNA from 1 species